CAAGUCGAACGAUGACGUCACUGCUUGCAGUGAUUGAUUAGUGGCGAACGGGUGAGUAACACGUGAGGAACUUGCCCAUGAGCGGGGGACAACAUUCGGAAACGGAUGCUAAUACCCCAUAGGUGGAUUGGUCGCAUGACUAAUUCAUUAAAGGUGGCUCUGCUACCACUCAUAGAUAGCCUCGCGGCGUAUUAGCUAGUUGGUAAGGUAAUGGCUUACCAAGGCAGUGAUACGUAGCCGACUUGAGAGGGUGAUCGGCCACACUGGGACUGAGACACGGCCCAGACUCCUACGGGAGGCAGCAGUAGGGAAUCUUCCACAAUGGGUGCAAACCUGAUGGAGCAAUGCCGCGUGAGUGAAGAAGGUCUUCGGAUCGUAAAGCUCUGUUGUUAGAGAAGAACACGUGCUAGGUAACUACUAGCGCCUUGACGGUAUCUAACCAGAAAGUCACGGCUAACUACGUGCCAGCAGCCGCGGUAAUACGUAGGUGACAAGCGUUGUCCGGAUUUAUUGGGCGUAAAGGGAGCGCAGGCGGUCUGUUUAGUCUAAUGUGAAAGCCCACGGCUUAACCGUGGAACGGCAUUGGAAACUGACAGACUUGAAUGUAGAAGAGGAAAAUGGAAUUCCAAGUGUAGCGGUGGAAUGCGUGGAUAUUUGGAGGAACACCAGUGGCGAAGGCGAUUUUCUGGUCUA
rnacentral:rRNA from 1 species